AGCUCCAAUAGCGUAUAUUAAAGUUGUUGCAGUUAAAAAGCUCGUAGUUGAAUUUUUGGCGGAUGCUGCUGUCCAAUUUGGUACAAGCGGUGUCUGCCAUGUUUGAGUGGAACUUGUCUGGCAUUAGGUUGUCGGGCAGGGGAGGCUCAUCGUUUACUGUGAAAAAUUAGAGUGUUCCAAACAGGCUUAUGCCGUUGAAUAUAUUAGCAUGGAAUAAUGAGAUAGGACUUUGGUACUAUUUUGUUGGUUUGCGCACCGAAGUAAUGAUUAACAGGGACAGUUGGGGGUAUUCGUAUUCCAUUGUCAGAGGUGAAAUUCUUGGAUUUCUGGAAGACGAACUACUGCGAAAGCAUUUACCAAGGAUGUUUUCA
rnacentral:rRNA from 1 species